CUUCUAUUAGAGAUUUCUCUCCUCUGUCGGUUAGUGAUUUCUGAGUUGACCAGGCAAGACUCUACCUUAAGGCUUACCAGAGUCUAAAGGUAUUACCCUCUUUUUAUUCCAAUGCAGAAACUAUGCUGCACUGGUAAUAAUUUAGGAAAUUAUCAAAUGGUGCCAAGAUGAUUUAAGAAGUUUUCUCCUGGUCUCUGUUCAGAGCCUGACUCCAUCCAUUGUGUAUGCACUGUCAAAUAAAGAUAGGCAAAAGCCUAAAGUUCAGAUAAUAUUUUGCUGAUAGAUAUUUCACUUCUGCAUGCUCUGGGGGAAGUCUUCUGUUGCUCCAUAUCUGCUCUCUUAUUACUAGCAAAAACAACUGUGAAUAUUCAGUUCAAUCCAUUUAAUAUCAAAACCGUGCAUUAAUUUUCUUUUCUUUUCUUUUUCUUUCUUUUUUGAGACGGAGUCUUCGCUUUGUCACCAGUCUGGAGUGCAGUGGCAUGAUCCCGGCUCACCGCAACCUCUGCCUCCCGGGUUCAAGUGAUUCUCCUGCCUCAGCCUCCUGAGCAGCUGGGACGACAGAGGGCUAUCAUUUGGGACGCAGAGGGAGAAGACAGGACCGUCUCUGGCAAAAGCACACUGCCUUGUUGAUUGUGCAUUGUAGCAGUAAUGUACAAAUGCCAAAGGCAGAAUGAGGCAGAAUGACACUGGACAAUCACUGUGGGAGGAGGAAGAUGAGUUUAAAGUAAAGAUCAAAUUCUCCAGGUACAACUGGCUAAGAGUGUGUUAAAGAUGGAUAUGAUUCAUGACUGAGAAACGUCAUGAGGAGACAAAGAGACCAUGCAAGUGUUCUGAAACCAUUGUGCGAAGAAGAGAAAAGCUUCCAUCCACUGGGCAGUGGCACCAGAGUUUGCAAAUAAUUGCACACAAAGGGACUUCUGUUAAGGAUUACUCUCUGGAAUUUUGCACUAAAUUCCCAAAGCAUUUUCCUUCUAACAUUUUGUGAUUUGGUUGAACAAGUGGUCACCUUACCCACAACCUUCAUGAUAUCAGAGAUCUCAUUCAUGUCUGCUGUCAUUACUUCCAG
rnacentral:lncRNA from 10 species